AAAUUGAAGAGUUUGAUCAUGGCUCAGAUUGAACGCUGGCGGCAGGCCUAACACAUGCAAGUCGAGCGGUAGCACAGAGGAGCUUGCUCCUUGGGUGACGAGCGGCGGACGGGUGAGUAAUGUCUGGGAAACUGCCUGAUGGAGGGGGAUAACUACUGGAAACGGUAGCUAAUACCGCAUAACCUCGCAAGAGCAAAGAGGGGGACCUUCGGGCCUCUCGCCAUCAGAUGUGCCCAGAUGGGAUUAGCUAGUAGGUGAGGUAAUGGCUCACCUAGGCGACGAUCCCUAGCUGGUCUGAGAGGAUGACCAGCCACACUGGAACUGAGACACGGUCCAGACUCCUACGGGAGGCAGCAGUGGGGAAUAUUGCACAAUGGGCGCAAGCCUGAUGCAGCCAUGCCGCGUGUGUGAAGAAGGCCUUCGGGUUGUAAAGCACUUUCAGCGGGGAGGAAGGCGGUAAGGUUAAUAACCUUAUCGAUUGACGUUACCCGCAGAAGAAGCACCGGCUAACUCCGUGCCAGCAGCCGCGGUAAUACGGAGGGUGCAAGCGUUAAUCGGAAUGACUGGGCGUAAAGCGCACGCAGGCGGUCUGUUAAGUUGGAUGUGAAAUCCCCGGGCUUAACCUGGGAACUGCAUUCAAAACUGACAGGCUAGAGUCUUGUAGAGGGGGGUAGAAUUCCAGGUGUAGCGGUGAAAUGCGUAGAGAUCUGGAGGAAUACCGGUGGCGAAGGCGGCCCCCUGGACAAAGACUGACGCUCAGGUGCGAAAGCGUGGGGAGCAAACAGGAUUAGAUACCCUGGUAGUCCACGCUGUAAACGAUGUCGAUUUGGAGGUUGUGCCCUUGAGGCGUGGCUUCCGGAGCUAACGCGUUAAAUCGACCGCCUGGGGAGUACGGCCGCAAGGUUAAAACUCAAAUGAAUUGACGGGGGCCCGCACAAGCGGUGGAGCAUGUGGUUUAAUUCGAUGCAACGCGAAGAACCUUACCUACUCUUGACAUCCAGAGAAUUUGCUAGAGAUAGCUUAGUGCCUUCGGGAACUCUGAGACAGGUGCUGCAUGGCUGUCGUCAGCUCGUGUUGUGAAAUGUUGGGUUAAGUCCCGCAACGAGCGCAACCCUUAUCCUUUGUUGCCAGCGAUUCGGUCGGGAACUCAAAGGAGACUGCCGGUGAUAAACCGGAGGAAGGUGGGGAUGACGUCAAGUCAUCAUGGCCCUUACGAGUAGGGCUACACACGUGCUACAAUGGCGUAUACAAAGAGAAGCGACCUCGCGAGAGCAAGCGGACCUCAUAAAGUACGUCGUAGUCCGGAUUGGAGUCUGCAACUCGACUCCAUGAAGUCGGAAUCGCUAGUAAUCGUAGAUCAGAAUGCUACGGUGAAUACGUUCCCGGGCCUUGUACACACCGCCCGUCACACCAUGGGAGUGGGUUGCAAAAGAAGUAGGUAGCUUAACCUUCGGGAGGGCGCUUACCACUUUGUGAUUCAUGACUGGGGUGAAGUCGUAACAAGGUAACCGUAGGGGAACCUGCGGUUGGAUCACCUCCUUACCAAGAAG
rnacentral:rRNA from 1 species